GACGAACGCUGGCGGCGUGCUUAACACAUGCAAGUCGAACGGAAAGGCCCUUCGGGGUACUCGAGUGGCGAACGGGUGAGUAACACGUGGGUGAUCUGCCCUGCACUUUGGGAUAAGCCUGGGAAACUGGGUCUAAUACCGAAUAGGACCAUGCGCCUCUUGGUGUGUGGUGGAAAGCUUUUGCGGUGUGGGAUGGGCCCGCGGCCUAUCAGCUUGUUGGUGGGGUAAUGGCCUACCAAGGCGACGACGGGUAGCCGGCCUGAGGGGGUGUCCGGCCACACUGGGACUGAGAUACGGCCCAGACUCCUACGGGAGGCAGCAGUGGGGAAUAUUGCACAAUGGGCGCAAGCCUGAUGCAGCGACGCCGCGUGAGGGAUGACGGCCUUCGGGUUGUAAACCUCUUUCGGUAGGGACGAAGCGCAAGUGACGGUACCUACAGAAGAAGCACCGGCCAACUACGUGCCAGCAGCCGCAGUAA
rnacentral:rRNA from 1 species